rnacentral:rRNA from 1 species
AACGAACGCUGGCGGUAUGCUUAACACAUGCAAGUCGAACGGGAUAAAGCUUGCUUUAUCUAGUGGCAGACGGGUGAGUAAUGCAUGGGAACCUGCCUUUAGGUAAGGGAUAGCUACGGGAAACUGUAGGUAAUACCUUAUAAUAUGAGUAAUCAUUAAAGAUUUAUCGCCUAGAGAGGGGCCCAUGUCAGAUUAGGUUGUUGGUGGGGUAAAAGCCUACCAAGCCUGUGAUCUGUAGUUGGUCUUAGAGGAUGAUCAGCCACACUGGAACUUAGACACGGUCCAGACUCCUACGGGAGGCAGCAGUGGGGAAUAUUGGACAAUGGGGGAAACUCUGAUGCAGCGAUGCCGCGUGAGUGAAGAAGGCCUUUGGGUUGUAAAGCUCUUUCGUCGGGGAAGAAAAUGACUGUACCCGAAUAAGAAGGUCCGGCUAACUUCG